rnacentral:rRNA from 1 species
GACGAACGCUGGCGGCGUGCUUAACACAUGCAAGUCGAACGGAAAGGCCUGCUUUCCCUUGUGGAUUGCGGGUACUCGAGUGGCGAACGGGUGAGUAACACGUGAGUGAUCUGCCCCCAACUUGGGUAUAAGCCUGGGAAACUGGGUCUAAUUCCCGAUAGGACUGCAGGGUGGUGCCUGUGGUGGAAAACGAUUUUCUAGUGGUUGGGGAUGGGCUCGCGGCCUAUCAGCUUGUUGGUGGGGUAAUGGCCUACCAAGGCGGCGACGGGUAGCCGGCCUGAGAGGGUGGACGGCCACAUUGGGACUGAGAUACGGCCCAGACUCCUACGGGGGGCAGCAGUGGGGAAUAUUGCACAAUGGGCGGAAGCCUGAUGCAGCGACGCCGCGUGGGGGAUGACGGCCUUCGGGUUGUAAACUCCUUUCGACCGCGAGGAAGCCACCUGGUUGGAAGGGUGGUGACGGUAGUGGUAGAAGAAGCACCGGCUAACUACGUG